CACGUGCAGAAGCAUAGUGCAGAAGCGCCACCACUGGAGGACACUCACCGGCCGCAUCCAAAAGCAGUGCGGACCGCAACAUAAAACCCCCCCCAAAUAAGGGAUCUCCAACGAGAGUGACCUCCAAUUAGCCUACGGUGACAAGGAUACAGACUUGAUAAAGGGGUCUGCGUACCCCGAAACGCGUCGUCUUUGCU